rnacentral:lncRNA from 1 species
AACACGGGUUUGCAGGGGCCUUUGGCCUCUGUGCCUGUGCAGACUGUCGGCAGUGGUGGGGUGUCCCCAGCUGCUCCGCCUUCACAGGCCGCAGGGCCCCAGCUGCGGCGGCUUCGGGCCCUCGGUGGGGGGCAGGAGGGGCAGUCUGGGCCGACCGGUCAUCCCGUCCCUGCAUCUGCAGGGCAGAGGUGUUUCUCGUUGCAGGGAGCCUGUGGUGGGACCAGGAUUCAUCUGCAGAGUUGGGAAGUCCCCCCGCCCCCCUCUGGAAGGCGGGGUCGCUGGGUCCAUUCUGACCGUGAUGCAGAAGGUCUGUGGGACUCCUACUCGGCUCCAACCAAAACUGGCAGCUGGAGGAGGGAGAACCGGGAGGAGUGGACUUCUCUGCACGCGCCUUCCCAGCACCUUCCGUCUGGCUGUGUUUUCGAGCAAGUCACACCGCGACCUCGUGCCCGGCUGUGGGUGUGGCACCGGCAGGAAUGGUGCCGUGCGGUGCGGGUACGAGUCUCCGCCUCACGUCGGGAGCCUGGGGACCGGGAGGCAGCGAUCCCGCUGUCGCCCGCUGCGCCGGACCGCCGGACUCGCGUGCGGAGCCCUGCCUGGCUGUGCCGUCUGGCGCUCGGCGGCGCACACGGCGCCACACGCUCGAGAGGGAAGCGAGCCUGGUGGUCGCCGUGGCCUCCUGGGCCGGGGGCUGCAGGGCCCGGUGGGCGGCCAGUGGAGGCACAGAGACCCAGGGCGAGCCGGGCCCUGUGCAGCUCCAGACCCACGGGCCCGGCGAGUCCUCGGUCUCGAGCGUCUAGCUGUGUUUUUAGCGUGAAUCACGUGCGGAACGGCAGCGCGCGUGUUGAAGACGCGGAUGGUGAGCCCACCAGCACGUUGAAGAAUGAGCCGCUCCGGAACUUGGAAGAAUCCCGCUGUAGAACCUACACUGCAUUAAAUUCAUUUAUUAUCCGAAAUUCAUUUUUGUGGUUUCCGGUCACGUUGCGCACACUUGUUUGUCCUUGGGUCCUUCUACCAUUUAGGUUGGUAAUUGGGUGCAAAAGACAGACUCCUCCCUUCAAUAGCUGGUGUGAAGCUGGGGGGAGGGGAAAGAGGUGA